rnacentral:rRNA from 1 species
GAUGAACGCUGGCGGCGUGCUUAACACAUGCAAGUCGAACGGGAAAUAUUUCAUUGAGACUUCGGUGGAUUUGAUUUAUUUCUAGUGGCGGACGGGUGAGUAACGCGUGGGUAACCUGCCUUAUACAGGGGGAUAACAGUCAGAAAUGGCUGCUAAUACCGCAUAAGCGCACAGAGCUGCAUGGCUCAGUGUGAAAAACUCCGGUGGUAUAAGAUGGACCCGCGUUGGAUUAGCUAGUUGGUGGGGUAACGGCCCACCAAGGCGACGAUCCAUAGCCGGCCUGGGAGGGUGAACGGCCACAUUGGGACUGAGACACGGCCCAGACUCCUACGGGAGGCAGCAGUGGGGAAUAUUGCACAAUGGGGGAAACCCUGAUGCAGCGACGCCGCGUGAAGGAAGAAGUAUCUCGGUAUGUAAACUUCUAUCAGCAGGGAAGAUAGUGACGGUACCUGACGAAGAAGCCCCGGCUAACUACGUG